rnacentral:rRNA from 1 species
ACGCGAAAGCUCCCUUCGGGGAGCAAGUAGAGUGGCGCACGGGUGAGUAACACGUAGGUAAUCUACCUUUGGAUGGGGAAUAACCACCGGAAACGGUGGCUAAUACCGCAUAAUGCAGCGGCACCUAAUGGUGACAGUUGUUAAAGCGGGGGAUCGCAAGACCUCGCGUCUGAAGAGGAGCCUGCGGCAGAUUAGCUAGUUGGUAAGGUAAAGGCUUACCAAGGCGAUGAUCUGUAGCCGGCCUGAGAGGGCGGUCGGCCACACUGACACUGACAUACGGGUCAGACUCCUACGGGAGGCAGCAGUCGGGAAUUUUGGGCAAUGGGCGAAAGCCUGACCCAGCAACGCCGCGUGAAGGAUGAAAUCCCUCGGGAUGUAAACUUCGCAAGAACGGGAAGAAUAAGUAAGAGUUAAUAUCUCUUAUGAUGACGGUACUGUUUGUAAGCUCCGGCUAACUCCGUGCCAGCAGCCGCGGUAAUACGGGGGGAGCAAGCGUUG